CUGCUUUAUAAUAUAUACAGAUAUAGAUAGAUAUUUUUUUCAAUUUUUACACAUAUUAUUUUUUUAAAAUGAUUAAUUAAUUUUUUCUUUUUUUUUUUUUUGAAAAAGGACGAAUGACACUUCACCCCAUUUAUUCAUCUUUUUUCAUCCCCAUUUAUUCAUCUUCGCCAUCUUCAUUUUUUCUUUUUUUUUAUUCUUUGCUAUUUUAUUUCAUUUUAGUUUUAAUAAAUAAAAAUAUAUUUGAAUCAAUUAAUUAAAUCUAUAAAAAAAUAAUUUUUUUUUGUUGACAUCCGCAUUCAAAUAGUUGGCCAAACAUUCGUUCAUCUCCAUUACCUCUGAGCAAAUAUCAAAAAUCAAAUAUAAACCCACUAAGUUUAAUGAAAAUGAUG
rnacentral:lncRNA from 1 species